ensembl:lncRNA
GUUAUGUUCUAAUAACAUGGUCACACUGUGAUACAUGGGUUUGCUGUAUGUUACUAAAUAGUGGUAACGGUUCCUUUAAGAGACUGACGUGUAAUGUAAUGCGCGCGCAUUGUAACAAGGAAGUGUUGAUCGACACAUGAGACUGAAGUAAAGAGAUGGAGUGUACGUUCUGAAACAACACGUGUGCGUGUCAGUCUUUCACACACAACAUUUGGAGACGAAGAUGGCUGGAUUUAGCCUUCCCCCACCCGAAGUGUUUCUCGCGGUGCCCGGGGAACCCGCAGUGUCAUGGACACGGUGGCUGACAGGUUUUAAUGCCUAUGUUGAUGCGCUCGGAUUCUCCGACGACGAGCUUCCCGACAAGCGAAAGACCGCUAUCCUCGUCCACUGCCUCGGUACCGAGGGCCAGCGUGUUCUUGGAGCGCUCGGCUCAGCAACAGCUUUCGAGGAUACAGUCAAGCUGCUGACGGACCAUUUCUCUGGGAAACAACGUGUCCUGAUACGGCGGUACAGACUCAGGAAGCGCCACCAACGACUCGGCGAGUCCAUACAGACUUUUGUAGCUGACCUACGUGAGCUGGCACGAGCCUCCUCUCGAGCCCAACCUUCAUCACCUGCGACGCCUCCGCUGCUGCAGUUGGAGCUGUCCUGUCGCAGCUUCAUGACGGCACGGAGAGGCCAAUCACCUUCGCAUCUCGGGUCCUGACACCCACUGAGCAGCGGUACUCCGUGGGUGAACGUGAAGCAUUGGCCUGUGUGUGGGCGUGCGAGAGGUGGCACAUGUAUGUCUAUGGCCGUCAUUUCACCAUCAGGACGGACCACCAGGCCCUCACAACGGUGCUCUCCACGUCAGGUUCGGGACACAAGCCUCUCCGACUCCAUCGCUGGGCGGAACGCCUCCGCCAGUACCACUAUGACCUCAUCUUCACGCCGGGCAGGGAAAACGUGGUGGCAGAUCUCCUUUCUCGCUCCAUCGCAGCCCCAAACCCUUCUGUACGAUCACACGAUGAAGAACCAGCUCUCAUCCAAGCGCUCUAUGCACCAUUGCAGCCAGUAGUCACACUGGAGGAACUGAACACUGAAUCAGGAUGAGACCCGAUACUAUCCAAGCUGUGCACCUAAAUCAGAAACGGCUGGCCGUCCCACAUCCCGGAAGAGUUGAAACCGUUUGCUCGGGUGAAAGAGGAGCUCUCCUGCUGGGCAGACACGUGUGUCUCGAGGGGGCUCUGCACCGUCGUCCCAAACACUUUGCGUGCACGUGUCCUGUCAAUGGCACAUGAGGGUCACCUGGGAAUCGUGAAACUCAAGCAGCGGUGCCGUGAGUUGGUGUGGUGGCCAGCCAUCGACCGCGAUAUUGAACAUCUGGUCCAGGACUGCUCAGCGUGCCUCCUCAGUGGGAAAACCGGACCCCCUUCAACCCCUCCCCUGCAACCGCUCCCCUGGCCUUCACGUCCCUGGGAACAUGUACAGCUGGACAUCUGUGGGGAAAUCCAUGGCCAUGGUGUUCCCCACCACCAGCGCUUCCUGGUGGUCGUUUACGACCUCCACUCUAAGUGGCCGGAGGUUGUGCCAGUGGGGACGGUGACGUCGCACGUCAUGGUUCGGAUACUGGAUGGCCUCUUUGCCCGCUGGGGCGUGCCUCGGGCCAUAACAACAGAUAAUGGCCCGCAGAUGACAUCUGCGGAGUUCUCUGACUUUCUUGCCAGCAGGAGUGUCAAGCACAUCCAAACCGCUUUUUACCACCCACAGGCGUAGUAGAGCGUUUUAAUGCAACACUUAAGAACGGGAUUCGUGCACACCUGGCCCAAGGCUGUGCAUUCGAGGAGGCACUCAACCAGACCUUGCUGCACUACAGAGCAAGCCAUCACUCCACCACGCUUGUGUCACCAGCGUUUCUGAUGCUCGGACGAGAAUUGGGACUGCCAUUACACAGGCUCCGAGCACCAAAUAGUGACUUUCCCAUGCCCUCCCUGGCCCGAAUCCGAGAGACUGUUGCUGCACGGCAGCAGAAGAUGAGGGAAAGGGUGGACAAGAAGUGCAGGGCGAGGCCACCGUCCCUUCAGUUCUCAGACUGGGUCAGGGCUCGACGGCCGCAGCGACACAACAAGUUUAGUCUAGCGGUUGUCUUCCCAGAUUCUUGCCUAGUACAUUUUGAUAUCUUGAUUAGAUGUUCAGUUUUCUUGACGAAUGUUUGGGUUGGUUGUUAGUUGGGGUGGUAUGCUGUUUGCUUUUCGUGGGGGGAGGAAAAUGUUAUGUUCUAAUAAUGUUAUGUUCUAAUAACAUGGUCACACUGUGAUACAUGGGUUUGCUGUAUGUUACUAAAUAGUGGUUACGGUUCCUUUAAGAGACUGACGUGUAAUGUAAUGUGCGCGCAUUGUAACAAGGAAGUGUUGAUCGACACAUGAGACUGAAGUAAAGAGAUGGAGUGUACGUUCUGAAACAACACGUGUGCGUGUCAGUCUUUCACACACAACAAUAACCUUUGUCAUUCUUUUAUAUUUUAUGUUGUUAAUAAAAGUUGUGUCAUAUAUUGUGUUUGUGUGUGUAGUGUUUACAUGGACAUAUUAUAGAAUGGACACCGGAUUCCAAAAUGGCACCCAUUCCUUCCUAUGUAAACUGCUCAAUGGCGCAGGGCAACAUCAAACAGAGAUAUGCUUCCGCAUCAUGGGAGCCUAGCCAUGCCUAGCCGCUUCAUGACUUACCGGAUGCAGAAACAUUCUUGUUUUUUAGCAUUGUUAGCAUUGUAGUAUCAUAAGCGAGAGGUCUGAGCGAUCGCAGUCGCAUUGUUUACCGACCAUGGAAGUAUAAGUUACUAAUCCCCCGAUUAUUCUCUAUAUGUUAAACAAUUAUUAUUUUGGAUUAGUUUGUCCCAUUUUGACUUUAUAAGAAAAGCACUGUGUACAAGGGCGUCAGUUUGUUUCUAGAAGUGGUGGGGACAAUAACCAUAAGCUUGAGUGUGGUUUGAAAAGUGCUGGGUACCCUUAUGUAAGCUAUUCAUCCAUUCAACGCUGCAUUACAAUAUGCUCUACAGUGUAUUGUCAGGUGUUGAAAAUCCUAUUUGAACAAUAAAGUUGAGAAC